rnacentral:rRNA from 1 species
CCUACGGGAGGCAGCAGUGAGGAAUAUUGGUCAAUGGGCGAGAGCCUGAACCAGCCAAGUCGCGUGAAGGAUGACGGCCCUACGGGUUGUAAACUUCUUUUGUCAGGGAGCAAUUGGGUUCACGCGUGGGCUUAGCGAGAGUACCUGAAGAAAAAGCAUCGGCUAACUCCGUGCCAGCAGCCGCGGUAAUACGGAGGAUGCGAGCGUUAUCCGGAUUUAUUGGGUUUAAAGGGUGCGUAGGCGGAAUAUCAAGUCAGCGGUAAAACUUCGGGGCUCAACCCCGUCGUGCCGUUGAAACUGAUGUUCUUGAGUGGGCGAGAAGUAUGCGGAAUGCGUGGUGUAGCGGUGAAAUGCAUAGAUAUCGCGCAGAACUCCGAUUGCGAAGGCAGCAUGCCGGCGCCCAACUGACGCUGAAGCACGAAAGCGUGGGUAUCGAACAGGAUUAGAUACCCGGGUAGUC